rnacentral:rRNA from 1 species
GACGAACGCUGGCGGCGUGCUUAACACAUGCAAGUCGAACGGAAAGGCCCUGCUUUUGUGGGGUGCUCGAGUGGCGAACGGGUGAGUAACACGUGAGUAACCUGCCCUUGACUUUGGGAUAACUUCAGGAAACUGGGGCUACUACCGGAUAGUAGCUCCUGCUGCAUGGUGGGGGUGGGAAAGUUUCGGCGGUUGGGGAUGUACUCGCGGCUUAUCAGCUUGUUGGUGGGGGAGUGGCUUACCAAGGCUUUGACGGGUAGCCGGCCUGAGAGGGUGACCGGCCACAUUGGGACUGAGAUAGGGCCCAGACUCCUACGGGAGGCAGCAGUGGGGAAUAUUGCACAAUGGGCGGAAGUGUGAUGCAGAAACGUCGCGUGCGGGAUGACGGCCUUCGGGUUGUAAACAGCUUUCGCCUGUGACGAAGCGUGAGUGACGGUAAUGGGUAAAGAAGCACCGGCUAACUACGUG